UCCUUCUUGACCAGCAAGAUGGGUAGAGGGCAUUCAAGACAAGUCCCACUGAGGCCGCCUGGGACAAAUGCCUCUGCGCCACAAGUCCCUCCGCGUGCCCCCCUCGGCAUGGCCCUGGAAACAUGGUUCAGGGUAAGGACCACACUCCCCUCCCACUCCCUUUGGGGCCCCGGGGCCAGCUCUGUUCUGGCACUGAGGGCCCCCUUCAUUGCUUCCCUCUACAGAAGGUCAGGACGAGGCGCUCGCUUCGCCGCGUGGGCCCCGAAAAUGUAGCUGUUCCUGUGGAUCCUCCAAGUCCUCCGGAGACACAAGGAACGCGCGCGGAGAAGCUCUCUCCCCGGACGCAGAUAAUUGAAGUGAGGCCAGCGUCCAAGUUUCUGGGGAGAGAGAAGCUCCCCUGGGAGGCUAGCAGCCUUCAGGCGGAGCGUAAGAACCAGACCUCAGAGAGUGCAGAGAGCAGCUUCCUCUCGGAGCAAAUCCUGACUUCACCAAAGGACAAACAACCCAUAGAGUUGGUGAGUGAAAGAAGGGGGCUAGAAAGGGAAGAGCUUGCCUUUCUCCUUCCUUCGGGAGAUGGGUUCUUGCUCAGAGCAUCCACUUCCCUCUUCUUUCUCCUCAACAGGGUUCAAAGGAAGUUGGGAUCCCUUCGGAGGUCCUGGAGGAGGG
rnacentral:lncRNA from 1 species